UUUUCUGCUUGUACCAUUUUGGGACCUGCUGCGUUUUCUGAGAGCGACAUGAAGUUUCAAAGAAAAAAGAAACUUGCCGGUGUCCGGUUUUCUGCGGUUUGAUACAUCCCAAGAGGUUCAUCUUGGGCACUUCUAAAGCAGUUUCCUUUAAUAAUGUGGUUUUCCAGUAGCUCAGGGAGAAGGAUGGUCAACUGCAGACCAUCAUCGUUAACUUGACCUCAACUUUACCUGUACUCGUCAGGAAAGCAAAAGAACUUUCUCUCGCAUUUUCCCCUGUCUACUCUGUUAGGUUAUCUUGGCGUGAUUGAUUCUGGGAUGACAUCAGGACCUGGAUUGCUGAGUAAUGUUUUGGGAUUGUAAAAGCUUAUCAGUUUUUAGGCCAGGGUUAUCUGUAUUGCAACCUUCAUCCCAAAGCCUUUCUGUUUUGCAAUUGUAGCGCGGCCAGAUAGCUUUAAGAAAAUGCGGGUCUUCUGGAAACACCCAGUGAACAGUUUGGAAAGAAAAAGAUCUUUGAGAACAACUGAUUCACCCCCUUCAGAGAAGGCCCAGAAAGGUGACCUGACUUGCCCAAGAUCACAUGGCCA
rnacentral:lncRNA from 1 species